rfam:Ictidomys tridecemlineatus contig086791, whole genome shotgun sequence.
AGGGAUGUAGCUCAGUUGGUAGAGUAUUUGCCUUGUGUGGACAAGGCCCUGGGUUCAAUCCCCAGCACUA